rnacentral:rRNA from 1 species
UACGGAGGGAGCGAGCGUUGUUCGGAAUCACUGGGCGUAAAGAGUGCGUAGGCUGUUAUACAAGUCAGGAGUGAAAUCCCAGGGCUCAACCCUGGAAUUGCUUUUGAGACUGUAUGACUAGAGAUCUAGAGAGGUUGGGGGAAUUCCGAGUGUAGAGGUGAAAUUCGCAGAUAUUCGGAGGAACACCAGUGGCGUAGGCGCCCAACUGGCUAGAUACUGACGCUGAGGCACGAAAGCGUGGGGAGCAAACAGG